rnacentral:rRNA from 1 species
UACGUAGGUGGCAAGCGUUGUCCGGAAUCACUGGGCGUAAAGCGCGCGCAGGCGGCGAUCUACGUCUGGGGUGAAAGCCCGGAGCUCAACUCCGGGACUGCCUUGGAUACGGGAUCGCUUGAGGAUUGGAGAGGCAAGGGGAAUUCCACGUGUAGCGGUGAAAUGCGUAGAUAUGUGGAGGAACACCUGUGGCGAAGGCGCCUUGCUGGCCAAUUUCUGACGCUGAGGCGCGAAAGCGUGGGGAGCGAACAGG